rnacentral:tRNA from 1 species
AGAAACUUAGGUUACACCACAAACCGAGAGCCUUCAAAGCUCUAAACACGGAGAAAAAUCCCGUAGUUUCUG